GGGCCAACCUCCCAUCCGUGUCUAUUGUACCCUGUUGCUUCGGCGGGCCCGCCGCUUGUCGGCCGCCGGGGGGGCGCCUCUGCCCCCCGGGCCCGUGCCCGCCGGAGACCCCAACACGAACACUGUCUGAAAGCGUGCAGUCUGAGUUGAUUGAAUGCAAUCAGUUAAAACUUUCAACAAUGGAUCUCUUGGUUCCGGCAUCGAUGAAGAACGCAGCGAAAUGCGAUAACUAAUGUGAAUUGCAGAAUUCAGUGAAUCAUCGAGUCUUUGAACGCACAUUGCGCCCCCUGGUAUUCCGGGGGGCAUGCCUGUCCGAGCGUCAUUGCUGCCCUCAAGCCCGGCUUGUGUGUUGGGUCGCCGUCCCCCUCUCCGGGGGGACGGGCCCGAAAGGCAGCGGCGGCACCGCGUCCGAUCCUCGAGCGUAUGGGGCUUUGUCACAUGCUCUGUAGGAUUGGCCGGCGCCUGCCGACGUUUUCCAACCAUUCUUUCCAGGUUGACCUCGGAUCAGGUAGGGAUACCCGCUGAACUUAAGCAUAUCAAUAAGCGGAGGAA
rnacentral:rRNA from 1 species